GGGGGGGAGCAGGGGCAGGCCGAGACAGGAGGAGCAAUAAUAGCUGAGUCAGAAGCAGCGGAAGGACACCCUUUUCUUCCAGAAACACAUUCUUGGGUAAGCCUUUCAUCGGCCUGGGCUGAGCUGUCGGAGACCUGCCACUAAAUAUACAUAAGACACCUUCAGGCUGGAUUUCAUCUUAAGACCUCAAUUAAAUAUCACCCCGCCUUCCUGAUUCUUAUUAUCAAUAAUACCUCUAAUAUUCUUGUUAUUAUUUUGCAAACGACGUUUCGGCGGCGGAUGUCCCCUUGGAACUGCAGCGGGAGCCACGCCCAGGAGGGCGCUCACCUGCUGCGCGGAGCCCGGGACUUUGCCCCAUCCGCGUCCCUUGCCUCUUCCCCACUCCCCCUAGGCUGAUGGAUAUCCUUGGAUGUGGAGCCCUUUAAAAAUGACAAAUGCCUUGUCAGUACAGACCAUCCCUCCCCUCCUGCUUUCUAAUCUUUUUUUUUUUUUCGGAGCAAGGAUGGACCCAGACUCAAGCCUAGCGGCGCGGAUUACAUGGCCUGCGUUGUACCGUAAACGCCAAAACCUUGGCCUAAUUUACAGCUAAUAGAUCUCAAGCAAGGGAGUCGGGAAGAAAUCAGUGGCCUAAGGAGUUAGAUUGGGGCUUUGGAGGGAUCGGAAAUUAGGGACUGGAAGUAGGAUGUGAUUCACAUUAUUCACCGCUCCCCCCAACACACACACACACACACACGACCAGGCGCCUCCCGGCUCGGCCUUCGCGAAUGCGGCCCUUGGUUCUCCGCGGCCUGUGUCCCUGUCGCUCGCUUCCCUCCAUCGGGACCACACUGAGCGUCAGGGGCGCCUGCGAUGCGCUCAGACCCCUCGCCCUCCUCCCGGCUUCUCCCAGCCCCCGGGAGGAGGCGCUGGCGCCCGGGUCGGCCUCUGGUCCCUCCUCGUCGGCGUCCCCGGAGCCCCCAUUCACAAAGCCGCGCUUGGAGGAGGCGACACACACACACACACACACACACACACACACACACACAGACACACAGACACACACACACACACACACACACACACACACACACACACAGACACACACACACACACCCCGAAGAGGGGAGCUUGAUCUUGUCUCAUUGGUGUCUCGGGCCUGAAAGGAAAAUCGUUUGGGUAAACAGCCAAGCUUCCAGGCUUAGCGCCCGGCUCCCGCCCCCGCCCCCCGCCCCUCCGCCUCCCCCACUCCCCUUCCACCCCGCCCGCCACCCACACUCCGCUCCGCAGCCGGGCCCCGAGCGAGCUCCGCGCCGCCGGCCGGGAGUCCGGGGCUCACGAGUUCAAAGGGCCGCGGCCCCGAGGGGAUGCCCUCCUCGCUGUGCCCCGGGGGGCAGAAGCGGACCGCAGGGCGGUGGGACCGGCCCGGGCCACGCCCUGACUCUGUAA
rnacentral:lncRNA from 1 species